rnacentral:lncRNA from 1 species
AGAAAACAAGUAUGGGGGAGAUCCCUCGACAUGCCAAACACACCACUCCACCACUCAGGUACACACUCUGCACACUUUACUUUAUACAUACAUUUAUUUUGGAUUAUGCAGACUACUGUUUCCGACAUGAUAAAAUAAAAGGAUUAAAAUAUUUCUAAUCAUGAUUAAUCUCAAUCUAUGAUAUUUCCUGAAAACUUGCAAUUAUUAUAAAAUCAUUUUAAAACCCUGUGUUACUUAAGUCAAUUGGAAUAUGUGAUGAUAGAGUAUGAGUUUCUUAUUCUUGAUAUCAUUGUUGCUUGGAGAAUUUAUUUCAAAAUAUUCAAAUUUCUAGCUACCAUCCUCAGUGUUUUAUAUGCCUGAUAAAACUGAAAAUAUUAAUUAUGAUUAUAAAAGCUAUCUGCUCUGUAUUGAGUUUGUUCAAAAUGAGUUAGACCCUUGUUGAGAGAUUUAUCAUGCUCCCA